rnacentral:rRNA from 1 species
AUGGGAUGCCUAAGUUGGAACUGCCGGGGGCUUGGGAACCCCGAGGCAGUUCGAGAGCCUCGCAAUUUUGUGAAGCAAGAAGGGCCCGCGCUGCUCUUUGUUAUGGAGACGAAGAUCAGGGCAAAGAGGGUGGAAAGUUUGCAGUCUAAUCUGGGGUUUGCGGGGUGUUUUGCGGUGGACAGUUCAGGUCUAAGUGGUGGUAUAGGCCUGUUUUGUUCAAAAGAGGUUAAUGUUGAGCUGAAAAAUUUCAGUCCCAGCCAUAUUGAUGUCAUGGUUAGGGAAGCUGACUUGCUUGCUCGGGAGUGGAGAUUAACAGGAUUCUAUUGUGAACCGAGAAGUGAGGUUGGCACCAUAGCUGGAGAUGUUUGA